rnacentral:rRNA from 1 species
UACGUAGGGUGCGAGCGUUAAUCGGAAUUACUGGGCGUAAAGCGUGCGCAGGCGGUUCGAUAAGUCUGAUGUGAAAUCCCCGGGCUCAACCUGGGAACUGCGUUGGAAACUGUCGAGCUAGAGUGUAGAAGAGGGGGGUAGAAUUCCACGUGUAGCAGUGAAAUGCGUAGAGAUGUGGAGGAAUACCGAUGGCGAAGGCAGCCCCCUGGGCUAACACUGACGCUCAUGCACGAAAGCGUGGGGAG